AUGGUCCAACUACAGAACUUCUUCUUUUUCAUUACUUCCAUGGUCGUGCCCCGUGGCAUGGCAGCACCCGUACUAUUGAAAUGGUUCGUCAGUAGAGAUGUUCCCACUAGUGCCUCUUCUUCCAAUGGUACUAUAAUUCCUAUUCCUAUCUUAUUCCCUUUUUUGGUCUAUCUACAUUUAAGGAAAUUCAUACGCUCCAUGGACAGAGCAAAAAGUGGAGUGUUGGUCAAAGCAAGCCGCCCUAUUCUAUUACCAGACAAAAUGGAGAGAAGCUCAUCCGCUAGAAAUGCUUUAUUUCGUUUCGUUCCCGUUCUUCAUUUCCUUAUUAUCGAAUCCAUGGGGGACUUGUCAUAUUUAGAAUCUUUCUGCGGUCUGCUCUGUUUACAAUUCUUUCGUACUCUCUUCUCUUUACCACGCGAUAGGUCAGCGAAGCGUGAGCGGGCGCUCCGAAGUAAAGGCCAAACACUUCGGCCUAAGGGGAAUGAGCAACAAAAUUACAAGAUGAGGUGCCCCGGGCACCCCCAUAUAGAAAGAAGGGUCGAAGGUUUUGGGCCUGUAGCUUUCCCCGCCCCCCCCCCCUCGUCGAGUGGUGCUUGUUUGGGGGGUGUGCCACCAGAAAGUGGGCUUGAAGCUCUUGCCUUACCAACGAGCCGACUGCUGAUGGCUGUUGGUCACGACUACUACAAAAAAGUGAAGAUGAAUCUUUCUAUUUCACAUGGAGGAGUGUGCAUCUUUAUGUUGGGUGUUCUUCUGUCAUGCGACCCGAUGGCUUAUGUGCGACCUGUGGCCCAUGCCUCCUAUUCUAUUUGUUCAGGGCGGGCGGCGUGA
rnacentral:rRNA from 1 species